GGAAUAUUGCACAAUGGGCGCAAGCCUGAUGCAGCAACGCCGCGUGAGUGAAGAAGUAUUUCGGUAUGUAAAGCUCUAUCAGCAGGGAAGAAAGGCCCUUCGGGGAGAUGACGGUACCUGACUAAGAAGCCCCGGCUAACUACGUGCCAGCAGCCGCGGUAAUACGUAGGGGGCAAGCGUUAUCCGGAUUUACUGGGUGUAAAGGGAGCGCAGACGGCAUCGCAAGUCUGAUGUGAAAGCCCGGGGCUCAACCCCGGAACUGCAUUGGAAACUGCGGAGCUUGAGUGUCGGAGGGGUAAGCGGAAUUCCUAGUGUAGCGGUGAAAUGCGUAGAUAUUAGGAGGAACACCGGUGGCGAAGGCGGCUUACUGGACGACUACUGACGUUGAGGCUCGAAAGCGUGGGGAGCAAACA
rnacentral:rRNA from 1 species